GACGAAGGGGGCAAGCGUUGUUCGGAAUUACUGGGCGUAAAGCGUGCGCAGGCGGUUCGUUGUGUCGGUGGUGAAAUCCCCGGGCUUAACCUGGGAAUGGCCAUGGAAACUGGCGAACUGGAGUGCGGCAGAGGGGGGUGGAAUUCCGCGUGUAGCAGUGAAAUGCGUAGAGAUGCGGAGGAACACCGAUGGCGAAGGCAGCCCCCUGGGCUAGCACUGACGCUCAGGCACGAAAGCGUGGGGAGCAAACAGG
rnacentral:rRNA from 1 species